CCCUUUUAAAGGAAAGGAGUGGGGAGGCACACCCAGAAGUGAGUGAACAUCUUCACACGCGGGAAUGUGCUACUAGUACAGCCAAGCCCACACCUGACAUGCUCCCCACCACAGUCUGCUAUGCUGUCUCUUUUUUACAGGAAAUCUGGAACAGUGCGUAGCAAAACAAAUAAAUUACUUUUCAUCUCUCAGAAAGCAAGUUCGAAGAUUGGAGGCACCAGUCCAGAAGUCUGGUCUGAGCAGCUUCAGCGAAGAAGCGUACUUUCCUUUUCAUCUUCCUUGGCUCCAGCCAGCAAGAGACAAGAGGCCCCCCGCUUUCCGCACCUUAGAAUUCUAGACGGUGUUUAGUUACACUUGGGAUCUCGUUGCUUGGGUAUCUCUCCUCCAUCUUCCAAAUCCAUCUCUGCAGCAACUGACGUGCAUAGGACCGGAAGGUACCAUGCGGUGGACGCCACAAUCCUUCGGAGACAGUGAAGUCGCCUGUGUUCUGGCACUCUGCUGAUGAGGAAGGAAAAGGGCAAGCCCGAGAGGGCAAUGCCAAUGCCGAUGAGGGAGUUGGUGGUAUCGUUGUAAAGCGCUACGGCCACCGGGAAGAUGGUGCACAGGCAGAAGACAGUGGGGAAGAAAAGACUGAGCUUGAGGGGACGAGGCCCAUUAGGCUCCUUCCAGCACAAAGCCUGUUCAGUAUCACUGACUAAAUCAUAGAAAGAACCCCAAGAUGAUCUACAAAGCCACAAUUAUUGAUGCAAGCGAAUCCUCAUUUAAAGAAUCAGGCACUUGGUCACAAAUUUGGUUUUAUCAGAGAGUUGCAAAGAGCACUUCAGAAAAUAAGAAAGCAAAGUGAGUCCAUCAACAAGUUUGCUAAUCUAUCAUUCCAUAUUUUCCUUCUGAUAACCUUCACCUAUCAACUGAGUCACCAUUUUAACUCUUCGUGAUAAUUACCAUUCAUCUUAUCUCCACAAAUUUCCUUCAUGGAGAAGGAGUGCAUUUGCCUUAUAGAUACAGCAGGCUUUGAAUGGAAACUCAGAAAGGAUGUAUUGUGUUCUCGAAAAAAAAAAAUGAACCAGUAUACAUUUAAAAAUGUUAAGAACAAUUUCAUAAAGUCAUUACCAUUUAAAUCUGCCUUUGCAAAUUUCAUAUUUUCCACUGGCUGGUCUUCCCCACAAAAGAAGAUUCGAGAAGGUUUCCCCUGGGACACGGUGAGCCAAGGAAUGUGUGCACUUUAAGUAGGUGGCAAGUGUAAGCUUUGAUGGCUUUAGAAAGCCCUGGCAUCCUGGAAGUCAGAGCAGAGCUCACCAGAUGCCUUUGUGUGUUCUGAUUCCUAAAACGGAAGGCCCAUGGUGACCUGCCUGCUUUGCAUGUCUGGCUGUGUCUACAAGCAGAACUCAGGAAUCGACAGUCCUAACACAAAGUCUCAGAAACUGUGGAUCUUCAUCUGUCUCCAGGGUAUCUCACGGUCUGCACACAUUUUCUGUAGUCCACUAAAAUGAAAAUUACUAAAUAGUGUUGUGUGCCUCUAACAAUAUCACAACGAUGAAGCUCUUCUCAUUUCCCACAGAGAGCAAGUAGAAGACUAAAUCCUUCUUUUUACAUAUUUAAAAACAUUAUGCAACUUAUCUGUAGAGAGGUUUGAUAUAUAUCUGAAGCUUCCAUGCCUUAAAAUUUGAGAGAAAACUGAAAAAGAAAAAAAAAAUGCUUACUUAUUCAUGAAGCAUUACAUUUUCAAACAUAGCAGAAUACUGGAAGUCAGAGAAUUGAAACCUGAAAUAGUUAAACUUGCAAAGAGACUCAUUCAUUAUUUUUCAGAAAGGAAAAUCUUCUUAAAGCUAAAGCAUUCAAUUCUUGGUUUCAAUCCAAAGGUUCUGUUCAGUUGUUUUGAAGUUACAGGGAAAAAAAUGUACUUUUCCUAUCGUACCCAUUGACAUUUUUAAACAAAAAUAAUUCAAAGAUAUUUAAACAGUACAACUUCAAAUGUCUGUUGUUAAUCCAUUGUGGGGAAGAAUCUGUAGAAGAGAAAAGAACUAUGAAAAAAUAAACUUAGAGUUUGGUCAUUCUUUCAAACACUGAAUCAAACUGAAAUCCUUCUAGGUUUAUGAUUGUACUAUCAAAGUUGGUUUAUUUCUAACUAAAAGAGAAUACAGAUUCCUGUAUUGUCUCUUCCAAAAGUAUUUUUUAUGGGAAAAAAUAUGAAACUAUUGUAUUUACUACCAUCAUAGAACAGAAUCAUCACAUGCCAGGAAAUUCUGUUUCACUCUUUGUGAAAUGCUAAAUUAGCCUAAUUAUCCUACCAUUUCAGAAAACUUCUUGGUGAGGGCUACUCUUUAGUAAGAUCAUACAAAGUGGAACUAACGUGUGAUCUUUUUUCCAAAUGUUUGUGUUAUAAUUUAAAUUCGAAUUCGACUCUUAAGUGAUCGAGGGUGCACAAUUUAAUCAUGGAAAGAAUAUAAAAUACAGUAGCCCCAGAGAUAAAGUUUACAGAUGUGUCACUGUAAGUUAUUCAGCUUCUUGCAUUUAGAGACAGUGGAAAAUCGAUGGGUUUAAAUUCUUGGGUAAGAUAGUCUAUCUCUUGCAAUCUUGGUUUCUUUAUAACAUGCGGAUAACUGCAAGAUGUGUGUAACAAAACAGGAGUUACGUGCAAAACAGUAUAGAUACUAUCUGGCACAGUACAUACUUAGCAAUUGUUAGUUUCAUUCCCCUUUUAGAGGCAAACAUUCAUUAAUAUAAUUAAAAAUUAUAAAAUGCAAGUAAGAGGAAAUGAUGCCUAAUUACCAAUACUGUACUAAACAAAUUUGUGCAAUAAAUUAAUUUACUCUCCAUUGAAUCAGUGUUUUUCAAGUUACUGUUUACACACGAUUAGUGCAUACGAAAUCAACUUAGUCCGUUCUAACCAGAGAGGAAGAGAAGAGAAAAGAAAAAGAAAGAAAAUAUCAGAGUAUAUCAUACUUAGAAGAGUGUUGCUCCAUUAAACUUUCAUUUGGGUUACAAGUGUGGCACGUCUAUA